ensembl:lncRNA
AUACAUAAAUAUGUAGAGAUAUAGGGAGAUAUAGGGAUACAUAGAUAGAGAAAUCAAUGUAGAGAUAUGGAGACAGAUAUAGCGAGACAUAGAGAUAUAGAAACAGAGAGCGACAUAGAGAUAGAGAUAAAGACAUAGAGAUGCAAUAGCUCAUGAUAAUCAUAGCUAUGUUCUGUUAUUUAAAUGGUCAUAUCAUAUGAAGUCAGGGCAAGCCGGGUUUAUUUGCAUAGCCCUAAUGAAAUGAACAAUCUGAGAGCAUUCAGGCCCCAGUUAGGACAUCUGUCUGGGGGACUCUAGCUCCCCGAAGGGCAAGGAAAGUUCCCUUAAUUAUGAAGAGGGGUGGAGUCUGACGGCCCUCCAAAGAAGCUUUUUGUUGCUGGGGUAACAGAUCCCGCCCACCACAAUAAUUACACAGUCAGUGUGUCUCAGGCGGUUGUGGGUUCCCCCCCGGGUGGAGGUGUAGUGUUGUGCUCCAGCCCCCAGGACAGCCCCCUAUCCCUCUCCCCACCUCCCUCCUUCAGCUCCCACCACCCCAGACACUAGCCCUCCUACCCCAGACCCCAGCACCACCACCUCCACCACUACCACCACCACCAGCCCCACCCAGCUCCAUCAGCCUAUCAGCACUUCUGCCUCACUGAAGAACAGGAUGAUUACCUCGGACAUCGGACGGUAAUCACAACCACUUUUCAUUCGUUCUUUUUUUGCGUGACUAGGAGCCAAUCAGACACCUUCAAUUGUGAUCAAUGUCCCGCCCAUCGACUGCUGUACCAUUGGAGUUGACCAGACGUUGUGGUGCUUUGUUUUUGCUCUGUGAUCACGUGACAUGUGAUCACACGCCCACGUUGGACCCUGCGUCUGCUGGACAGAGCCUACUCUUGGACCGCGAGCAAAAAAACUAAACGUUGAGGUCAUCUGGCGGGAGUGUUGAUCAUGGACUUGACAUGGUCUUCUUUAGUUUGAUAGAGGAAGUACACGCAGGGAGAAGGAAAGGAUGCUGCUAGGAGUGCUAUCGGUCCAGCUGCUCAGACAUCUCCGCUGUGGUCUGUUUCCCAUUGAGUGGGGAGUCGACAUAGGGGACCUUGCAUUGUUGUGCUGUUGGGAUACAUGAAGGGCUCACACCUAGAUAGCCAGGGGGUGUAGUUUAAAUUGGAUUUGACUGCUCAAACUAGACCGAACUUCUGUAUUCUUAACUUUCCAUAUUUGGAAUGUUUUGAUGGCGAAACGCAUUUAACUCCGAAACGCGUUCUGUUUGAGUUCUUGAGUUCUAAUCAAGAUGUUGGGAGCCGUGCGGGGCAGAUAAAACCUUUCAAGUUAGACUAGGGUGGAUGAUUAUUAAGAACAGUAAACGAAAACCAAAUCAGAGAAAACCCGGUUCCGUUCUGUACUGUCUCCACGCUAUAUCAUCAACGUUCUUCUGCCAGAGCCAUGUUCAAGGCACGUCACUCUACUCCUGUGUACGUGUUGCUUAGUGACGUAAAUUCUAGUUUCUCCAGUAUAUACGUUUCUUCCAGAAGUGUCUUCAAGUCGCAUCUACGCCUCAGUUCUCAGUACCUAGGUCAGAGCCGAGAUUCGGUUUAAUGACCGUUGAAAAGACGCACCAUUAAACGUCGGUUAUGAAGGGCUUUAGCUGAACUAUCUGAGGGGGUUUUGGGUGGAAGGAAGCACCCAUGUAGUGGAGCCCUUUGGCUCUGUGUUUCUAUGUUGAUAUUGUAUCUAUAUGUGAAUACUGUACACAUGAACCGGAUUCGCUACGACUAGCAUUCCUGCCUUUUUCUUUAGCCAGGGGUAUUCUUUUGUUUUAUUUUGUAUAGUGAAUCCCCCAAACAAAUCUCUUUACGUGUUUCCUUUUUACAGUAGUUUGUAUGAAGUAUCCAAAACUACACGUCAUAAGCACGCGAGAUGUCAAAAAGAGGUCUUACAAGCGGGCUUUGAGAAUGCAUGCAUUCCUCAGUAUCACAUCAUCGUUCAUUUGUAUUUUUAUGUGUUUUAAUGUGGUCUUGGUUUUCAGAACGAAGCCCUCAUUUUUUCAUAACAAUGGAAAUAGAAGAUUUCCUGAGCUUAUUCCAUCUAAUUCCUUUUGGUGUCGAAAGGCCUGAAGUCAGAUGUAGUCGCUUUAUGCACCGGGAAUAAUGCAAGAUAUUUAAAGCUAAACAACAAACCAAAAUAAGUAUCAUAAGUAUUGAUAUGAGUGAAUGACAACAUACAUUUGAUAUGUUGUCACGUGCUCGUAAAAAUGUGACGUUGAAAAAAAAAAAAUCUGCUUUAUGUGACUUUCCACUUUUUAAAUAUGUAACUAUUUAAAAAAAUAAGAAUUUAAAAGGAACAGAUUUUAGUCACUUUUACCAGUUUGCACAUUAUUAGAUACAGCAUCGUUUUUUUUCCAUCUUUAUGAGCAAUGUUCCAUAAAGUGUGCAGCACAAAAUUGUACGCAAUAUUUGCUUAGUGUUAUUAUUUUUUUAUUAUUUUCCUGAAAAGUAAUUUGUAAACUCAAAAGUGUAUCUGUUAUGGAUCAAAGACAUUGUUGUUGGUUGGAUGGAAUAUUAUCUGUUGUUUUGCUUUCUUGUUGUCCAGCUGUGUUUUGGGAUUUCAAAAAAAAUAUUUUUUUCAGGACAAUCACUAGGAAUUCCUGAGUUAGAGGAAUUAGCAUUUUCCCAAGCCAAUUUUCUUAAAAGGAUCCUAUGUCUAAGUGUUGUGAAUUGCUAUCUCGAGAAGUACCGUUUGUAAAGUAAACAGUGUAAUGCUUGCUGUGGAUGGAAGUUCAACAUUUCUUUAUUAACUAUCAUAUUGUAUAUUUUUUCAGUCAAUAAAGUUCUAGCCCAUCAGGAUACACUGCUGUACACAUAAAUUGCCAAACCCAAUAUUUAUACUUUCUUUGUUGUAUAGUCAUGUCGUUCAGCUUUAAUCCUGUUUAAAGUGUUUUCUGUCCAUUCAGUGGAUUAGCUCGAUGUAUCUAAGGCUAAAUUAAAUCAUCCUGGAAGUCCUUUGUAUGGAUUAGACCUCUGAAGAUAAUAUUUUGUUUGAGGUGAGAAAAUGAAAAGGUCUUAUUGUGUACUUCUCAUUCUGUGCAGUGGGAGUUAUUGUGAUUGUUAACAUACAGAUAGGUUUCCCAUUUAAAUAAGAAGAGGCUUGUUUGUCUGUGUUUGAUACAUGUGCUCGGCAGAGUUUCAAUAUCUUGGGAUGACAAGAGGUGACAGCAACACUAUAAUCUGGAGGUCUGUGUCCUUGGGAGAUCAGUGUCCUCGGGCUCUAUGUCUUUCGGAGGACUUCACAGAGUACUUUAUCUCACAGGUUAUUUUUGGCCUUCGUCAGCAAUACAUCUACAAAACCUCUUCAUUCUGGUUUAAAUCAAUACUAUUCCUCAAACCGCCAUACUCUUCCGUAGUCCCAGAAAAAUCAGAUAAUGCCGAAAUCCAAAGAUAUUCUCCAAUUUCGAGACGCAUUGUUUUCUGAAUGUUAUCAUUUGAACUAAAAAUGUCACGGUACUCCAUACGACGAUUGAGAGCAUACGUGAAACACGUACACUUUUGAAGCAAGCAAGGGUAAACUAAAAUGCUAGUCCAAAUGUAUUUACAUUUCCUUGCUCUGGAUGGAUUUUCCUUACUGGUUUCACAGUUGUUGCCGUGUUCUUGUCGAAGGCCUUUUAAUUUCCUAUGGUUGCAAUCAUCAUAUUUCUGUUUUUAUGAGUAAGGUGGAAUGGGAUUCUACCCUGGAAUGCGUCUGUGUUAUGACAUCACUGUGGUGUUGAGAUCCAUGUGUGUUUGAGGUCUGGCAAACCGUGGACGUUCAUGUGUCACGCCCAUCUGUUUCUUGGGAUACGUUCAACUCUGAAAUGUAAAUGCCCUUAAAGCCCCGAAGCCAUUGAUUACAAUGAUUCCUGAACUCUUAAAUUGAUAUUGAGUGUUGAAGGAAGCAGCUUCAGCAUACAUGUUAUUAGGACAGAAUCAUGAGAAAUGUAUUGUGAAAGCACAUCUACAACUGCACAUAGCUAUUUUUCUUUCUCUACAUAUGACAAAAUAUUAUGUAUUUUUUUAAAUAUAUAUAUUUUCAUUCAUUCCAUUCUGAGUGUCCCCUGGCUGUAAUAUGUACAAAGAAUGAUACAUUUUAUAGUGAAAAUAAUGCAAAUACACCUUAUUAUAUAUUGUAUAUGAAAAGUAUUGAAUAAAUUGUAUUAUACC